AAACCUGAGAAAUCCAAAACUCGAAUGGCGAGUUUCAUCGUCAGCGGCGCUGGCACGGGGGCAGCAAGCGAUGCAGGGGUUCAUCUCCCGGUCGGUUGCCUGGCACCGUCGGCACGCACUUCUGUUCUAGUAGGACGUGGCGAACCGUUGGGUGUUGGUCCACGGCCCGGGUGGCAAUCUGUCGCGUGUGCGCCUCGCGGCGUUUCGCGGGUCAGGCCCACAGUCGCCCGAUCGGCUGCCCGGCGGUGCUCGCACGGUAUAUGGCCGCAAUGUAAUGAACUGCGUCCGGCUUGUCGUUAGCGUGGCAAGUGGUUCCCGGUGCGAGCGGAUACGAGGCCGCCACCGAGCCUGGCCAGCUGUUUGACGACGCGGCUUUAGGACCGGCCAAUCGUUAUCGGUCGGCGAUGCUACUGCUUUGGGUACUUUCAGGAAUCAUCUUGAAACACGGACCAAGGAGUCUAGAAUGCGCGCGAGUCAUUGGAAAUGACUCAAGCCCAGAGGCACAAUGAAUGAAGAUUGACCCCGCGCCGCCCGAGGGAGGAUGGGCCGCGUUCUCACGCGGUCCCGCACUCUUGGGGCGUCUUGCUCUCAU
rnacentral:rRNA from 1 species